GUAGGUGGCAAGCGUUGUCCGGAAUUAUUGGGCGUAAAGCGCGCGCAGGCGGGUUCUUUAAGUCUGAUGUGAAAGCCCACGGGCUCAACCGUGGAGGGUCAUUGGAAACUGGAGAACUUGAGUACAGAAGAGGAAAGCGGAAUUCCACGUGUAGCGGUGAAAUGCGUAGAGAUGUGGAGGAACACCAGUGGCGAAGGCGGCUUUCUGGUCUGUAACUGACGCUGAGGCGCGAAAGCGUGGGGAGCAAACAGGACUAGAUACCCUGGUAGUCCACGCCGUAAACGAUGAGUGCUAAGUGUUAGGGGGUUUCCGCCCCUUAGUGCCGCAGCUAACGCAUUAAGCACUCCGCCUGGGGAGUACGGCCGCAAGGCUG
rnacentral:rRNA from 1 species